rnacentral:lncRNA from 1 species
GGGAAAACAAUGAAAGAAAAAUAUCUAGAAUGCGAGCGGAUAACCAUGCAACGAAUAUUUACAAUCUGUUUGGACAUUUUGUUGUAUUCUUCGUAUUCUUUCGAGCUGUGAUUCUUGUAAUGAAUUAAUAAAACAAAAUAUGCCUUACGUCCCCAUGGAUACAUAAGGAACUCAUCAAGUUGUUCAACCAUUCCAAGAGUUCUGAAAUCAAUGUAUCUUCUAGUUGGUUUUAAAACGCAUUCGACGAAGAUAACUAAUCUCAACUUAAAUUUGUCUUCUCGAUUUUAACACAUAUGAAACACUUCAGAAAGUCUUAUCAUAGUAAUUCUCUUUGAAACAUUAAAGUAUUUAUCCCUAAGUCGAGUAUUACUAAAAUUGAGAUCAACAGUAUCUUCAUGGCAUGGUAAUCCAGUGAUUAGACAAAAUUCUUGCAGGCCAAAAUGAGCUACAUGGUCGUGUAAUUGUACCCAAACUUCGUUAUUUUUACCGCAGUUUAUAAGUCUCAUUAUGAACUCAUGUAUUAAUUUGCUGCUAAAUUUUUCAUUUUGCUUUUUAUACAUACUUUUGCAAAUGAAUCCAUGGAAUGGACUGCACAAUAAAGAAGUUUGAUCGUCUGCAUCUAUAAGUUUUACAAAAUCUUUAAGAUAUUGAUGAUUUGCAAAUUAAGUAAUCGUAACAGAGAACCAUUGAUUUGGAGAUAAUGUGUAUUCUA